rnacentral:misc_RNA from 1 species
UCCGAGUUGACCCCGGCAGUCUCCUACGAGUCCCCGGCAUUACCCGCUGGCAACAUAGGACAAGGGUUGCGCUCGUUGCGGGACUUAACCCAACAUCUCACGACACGAGCUGACGACAGCCGUGCACCACCUCGCACCCUGCCCCGAAGGGAGACCGGCUUUCACCGGCUGUCAGGGCACGUUCAAGCCCAGGUAAGGUUCUUCGCGUCGCAUCGAAUUAAACCACACGCUCCGCUGCUUGUGCGGGCCCCCGUCAACUCAUUUGAGUUUUAGCCUUGCGGCCGUACUCCCCAGGCGGGGCGCUUAAUGCGUUAGCUACGGCACGGAUCCCGUGGAAGGAAACCCACACCUAGCGCCCACCGUUUACGGCGUGGACUAC